UCCCUACAGACUGCAGAUCUACUGUCGCCAAAUUGUAAUAUGAAAACCAAUGAUUAAUCUACAGCAGAGGAGUUUCCAGCUGACAGAGAGAAGACCAACCGGAGAGGACAAAGCACCAAAACAAAGAGAUGAUCAGACAAAAGGCCACUAGCAGACACUCACAUGUCCAAAGGUGGAGGUUUUGUGUUCUGUCAGGCGGUUCUCGUGUCCACAAGAUGCUCUCCACUGUCAACCAGUUGGUCCUGGAACGCACACAUGAAUCCACCUGCAGGAGGAUGGGGGAGCUCGGCAAAUUGAGGUCAGGAGACUUAAAGCUGAGUUUGAUGAGAAGAGGAUU